rnacentral:rRNA from 1 species
AGAGUUUGAUCCUGGCUCAGGAUGAACGCUGGCGGCGUGCCUAAUACAUGCAAGUCGAACGCUUCACUUCGGUGAAGAGUGGCGAACGGGUGAGUAAUACAUAAGUAACCUGGCAUCUACAGGGGGAUAACUGAUGGAAACGUCAGCUAAGACCGCAUAGGUGUAGAGAUCGCAUGAACUCUAUAUGAAAAGUGCUACGGGACUGGUAGAUGAUGGACUUAUGGCGCAUUAGCUUGUUGGUAGGGUAACGGCCUACCAAGGCGACGAUGCGUAGCCGACCUGAGAGGGUGACCGGCCACACUGGGACUGAGACACGGCCCAGACUCCUACGGGAGGCAGCAGUAGGGAAUUUUCGGCAAUGGGGGAAACCCUGACCGAGCAACGCCGCGUGAAGGAAGAAGUAAUUCGUUAUGUAAACUUCUGUCAUAGAGGAAGAACGGUGGAUAUAGGGAAUGAUAUCCAAGUGACGGUACUCUAUAAGAAAGCCACGGCUAACUACGUGCCAGCAGCCGCGGUAAUACGUAGGUGGCGAGCGUUAUCCGGAAUUAUUGGGCGUAAAGAGGGAGCAGGCGGCACUAAGGGUCUGUGGUGAAAGAUCGAAGCUUAACUUCGGUAAGCCAUGGAAACCGUAGAGCUAGAGUGUGUGAGAGGAUCGUGGAAUUCCAUGUGUAGCGGUGAAAUGCGUAGAUAUAUGGAGGAACACCAGUGGCGAAGGCGACGAUCUGGCGCAUAACUGACGCUCAGUCCCGAAAGCGUGGGGAGCAAAUAGGAUUAGAUACCCUAGUAGUCCACGCCGUAAACGAUGAGUACUAAGUGUUGGGGUUACCCAGUGCUGAAGCUAACGUAUUAAGUACUCCGCCUGAGUAGUACGGUCGCAAGGCUGAAACUCAAAGGAAUUGACGGGCACCCGCACAAGCGGUGGAGCAUGCUGUUUAAUUCGACGAUACGCGAAGAACCUUACCUAGACUUGACAUCCCUGGCAAAGCUAUAGAAAUAUAGUGGAGGUCAUCCAGGUGACAGGUGGUGCAUGGUUGUCGUCAGCUCGUGUCGUGAGAUGUUCGGUUAAGUCCGCUAACGAGCGCAACCCUUAUCCUUAGUUGCUAACAUUAAGUUGAGAACCCUAAGGAGACUGCCGGUGACAAACCGGAGGAAGGUGGGGAUGACGUCAAAUCAUCAUGCCCCUUACGUCUAGGGCUACAGGCGUGCUAUAAUGGCCGAUACAAUAAGAAGCAAUACUGUGAAGUGGAGCAAAUCUGUAAAGUCGGUCUCAGUUCGGAUUGAAGUCUGCAACUCGACUUCAUGAAGCUAGAAUCGCUAGUAAUCCCAAAUCAGAAUGUUGGGGUGAAUACGUUCCCGGGUGUUGUACACACCGCCCGUCAUGCCAUGAAAGUUUGUAAUACCCGAAUGUGGUAGCCUAACCUUUUAGGAGGGGGCCAUUUAAGGUAGGACAAGUGAUUGGGGUAAAGUCGUAACAAGGUAUCCCUACGAGAACGUGGGGAUG